UAUAAAAGUCCAGCCUGGGUGUAACGGUGUGACCUGUUCCGCGUGUAGCUUCAAAGAAGGAUUUUAAUAAGCAUACUUAGCAGUCACGUACUAUCUGGGAGUCGUUUAAGACCUUUCAAUAAUAUUGUGUAAAAUCAUUUUCAGAGGAUUAUGGGAAGAGAGAACUCUGGAGCAUUCGAGAAAGUGCAGAGCAACAGCUGAUAACGCGAUGUUCUUGCGGGGUCAGCGCUAUCUUUAAGUUGGCAUUGGUAGAUCUGGAAAAGAACUUAUACAUCUUUUCUUGUGUUUUUCGUUUUUCUGCAUUGUACAAAGUGAUGCAUGAGAAUGCACGUGUGGUUAAGCCAGGGUUUUAGGACAACACAGUUUGUAAGAUAUAUUCGCGUAAUAUGUUUACCCGUGCAGCUUUGUAAACCGAACUGCUGUGGCAAGGACUCAUAUUAACAUUGUGGGUGUAAAUAUCCUGGGGAUAAAAAAUAAGAAACUGCAAAGUUUGGUAUCAGUGUAGAAUGUAACUGCCCUGGAGCUUUCUGUAAAGCUACUUGGACACCUGUUUGAGACGCAGUGACCGAUAAAGUAUAGAUUCUUGCAAGGAAAAAAAAAAAAAGCUAAAUUCUACAAGAAUGGUAGAUAUAAAUUAACAUAGUAAAACUUUUUAUGCGCAUCGAUGUAGUGUGUUCAGUACUUUUUUUAACCUCUUGCUUACCUCAAAUCUGAUAAACCGAGAGACCAUUUACACCCCCAUUGGUCUUUACUGUUCUCUCUUGCAGACAUUAUUUCCUUUUGGCCUGUUUCUGCAGAUCCCACAGAUUGAUCUGGUGACAUUUAUAUACAGUACAAGAAUAUGCAGAUGGAAUGAAAUUACAUUUCAUAAUGGCAAUAAAGAGAUACAAAAAUGAGAAUUAGACUCAGUACUGACUCAUAAGUGUCAACAUAUCUAAUCCCAGACAGGAGUGAGGACAUACUGACUUGAGACCUCUAUAUAAUAAAGACAUUUUGGACAACACCAUCGUCAUUAAAUACGCGGAUGACACCACCAUCCUGGGGCUCAUUAAGGGGGUGGAUGAGUCAGGGUACAGGACCCUGGUAAACAACAUUCUUGUCUAUGGAGAGGAGAAUGACCUCACCCUCAACACAGACAAGACCAAAGAACUAAUACUGGACGUCAGGAAGAAUCCUCCCCAUCUACGGCCUCUUGUCAUCAAAGGGACUGAGGUGGAGAGGGCUAACAGCCACAGAUUCCUGGGACUGCAGGUUAAAUCAGACCUGAGCUGGACUCUUAACACCACAGUCACCGUGAAAAAAGCCCAGCAAAGGCUUUACUUCAUUAGGCUGCUCAGGAAAGCCGGCUUGAACCAUCGCCCUCUCACCCAGGCCUAAAGAGGACUGAUAGAGAGCAUUUUCACUGCAGGCAUCACUGUCUGGUAUGGGAACACCACACAGGCAGAGAGGAAGGCUUUGCAAAGAGUCAUAAAGACUGCAGAGAAGAUCAUAGGGACAAAACUUCCUUCCAUGGAUUCUAUGUACGCACAUCUUUGUUGUAAAAGAGGAGAAGGAAUUAUCAGGGACUCAUUCCAUCCAGCUCACUCUCUGCUCAGACACAAAAAAUGUACGCACAAUCUGAGACACAGCAGAGCGGACAGCAUCAUCACUCACAGAACAAGGUUUUUCCCCGCCACAUUUAGACUGAUAGCAAAACAAAAUUACCGAAUAUGUGAAAUAACCCCAAACUACCUCACUUCACUUGUCAUGUAAAUGUUUUAAC